CUCUUGGGCCCUCGGCCUCGCGCCCACCGAGCCCUCUGCCCGGGUUUGGUUGGGUGUGGAGCUUGCGACGCGCCCACUUCCUGGGCUGUGCUUCUGCCCGAGCUGAUGCCUCGCCGCGACGCCAGGCCCUAUCUUGACAGCGGGUGCCAGCAGGUCCAGGCCUACUGACGGGCGGAAGUCGGCCCGGUGCCCCCUCACACGCCCACACGCCGGGCGUGCCUCAGUUUCCUCUAUUGUGACAGAAUAGAGAUGAGACGAUGCAGGUUAAAAUUACCUACCGGCGCAUAAUGAGUUCUCCAGCAUCUAGCUAGUUCUACCAUAGGAUUAAUACCCAAAACCACGUGGGUGGAGCUGAAAAACACGAUGCUGUGGGGGGAAGAACCCAAAAAGCCAUAGUCGGUCUGAUGUCCAUUUAUAGGACAUUCUAGAAGAAGCAACAGUGGCGAUGCAAAGCAGUUGCCUGGGAAAGGAGUGGAACAGGACAGAAUGGAAUGCACAGGAGCGGGGGAACUUUGGGGCAGUGGUGGGACAAUUUCAUAUCUUAAUAGGAGCGGCGGCAACAUGACGUAUACAGUCGCCCCAAAUCAUCAAACUGUAGUUUCUAAAUGGGUACGGUUUAUUAACAUUCAAAUUAUAAGAAAAGUCAUUUCCUCAAAAGUUUCGGGGUUGGGGGAAGAGUUAAAGAAGGUCGUGGCUAGGUGGUUGUUGAGGAAUAAGGGAGAAAAUCACAGUUUACAAAAUCUGAGAGCUGAAUCCGUGCUGUUUCUCGAUUGAGAAGCAGUGGACAUCAGCAGUAGGAAUGGCUCAGGUCCAAGAAGGCUAUGCCCUACCAGACCCGGUUGAUGUGCUUCCCCGGAUUUACUCUGUCCCACCGUCCACCUCCACCCCGGCCUGCACCUCUCGCUUAGGGUAGAGGCCUGGCCUCCAGUGCCAUCUCCCGACAGCCUCCCCCAGGUGAAGGUCAUGCUUCAGCACUGCCUCCCUGACAGAGGCUCUGAUGAUGGGAUGCUCUGACUCAGACUCAGGUGAGAAAUUUGAAGGAACAGAAUGCUCUUGCCUAGCAGUUGCCGGGAGGGGUCAGGUGCUGCCCCCAGAGAAGUGGGAGAGUUAGAGGUCCGUGAGGCAUACUUUCCCCAAAGGGGGCAGAAAGCAUGAAGUGGUCAGCAUAGAAACUCGUCUCCCUGCCAUCCACACAGUCCCAAGGCAUGCUGGUUCUACAUGGCUUGUCUGGAAGCUGUCCUUGAAUGUAAAGUUGUUUUCAGCUCAAUAAUGUAUUUGCCUGCCUUCGCCUUUCCUUUCACCCUUACCACCUUGGAAUUGUACCGCCUAAUAAAAUCUUCGCACUUAAACUUGGCCUCAGGCUCUGUUCAUGUGAAUCAAU
rnacentral:lncRNA from 1 species